rnacentral:lncRNA from 1 species
GUGGCCCAGAAAGUAGGCAAAUGCGAUCCAAUGGUCUGUGUAGUUAGGGCUUCUGGAUAGGGUUUUAAGCCCUAUUAAAGGUGGGUUGGCGGACGAGGAGUGAGAGGUCUUGAUAGGAGCUUGAGAGACUCGAUAGGAUGGUCCAGAGUUUGAGGCAACGAGCACAGUAGUGCUGCAACAGUACUUUCCUAGAGGCACGAGGUUGAGUGAGGCUCGGUAAUGCAGCAAUUGAGAGAAGUAUCUCAGCAGAGAGUGCCAGAGGUAUGUUAAGGAGAUCGGGGAGCAGAUCUCAAGGAGAGCUAGGAGAAGGUCUCAGGAAGAUCUAGAGGCA